GUCUACGGCCAUACCAUGUUGAAAAUACCUGUUCUCGUCCGAUCACCGAAGUCAAGCAACGUCGGGCGUGGUUAGUACUUAGAUGGGUGACGCUUGGGAACACCAUGUGUUGUAGACC
rnacentral:rRNA from 1 species